GGCUCACCAAGGCAACGAUCCCUAGCUGGUCUGAGAGGAUGAUCAGCCACACUGGAACUGAGACACGGUCCAGACUCCUACGGGAGGCAGCAGUGGGGAAUAUUGCACAAUGGGGGAAACCCUGAUGCAGGCAUGCCGCGUGUGUGAAGAAGGCCUCGGGUUGAAAGCACUUUCAGUAAGGAGGAAGGUUGUAGUUMACACUGCAUAUUGACGUCCCUACAGAGAAGCACCGCUAAUCGUGCCAGCAGMMGCGGUAAUUCGGAGGGUGCGAGCGUAUCGGACUACUGGGCGUAAAGCGCAUGCAGGCUGCCUGUUAAGUCAGAUGUGAAAGCCCGGGGCUCACCUCGGAAUUGCAUUUGAAACUGGCAGGCAAGACUCUGUAGAGGGGGGUAGAAUUUCAGGUGUAGCGKUGAAAUGSGUAGAGAUCUGAAGGAAUACCAGUGGCGAAGGCGGCCCCCUGGACAAAGACUGACGCUCAGAUGCGAAAGCGUGGGGAGCAAACAGGAUUAGAUACCYUGGUAGUCCACGCCGUAAACGAUGUCUACUUGGAGGUUGUGGCCUUGAGCCGUGGCUUUCGGAGCUAACGCGUUAAGUAGACCGCCUGGGGAGUACGGUCGCAAGAUUAAAACUCAAAUGAAUUGACGGGGGCCCGCACAAGCGGUGGAGCAUGUGGU
rnacentral:rRNA from 1 species